rnacentral:rRNA from 1 species
UACGUAGGGUGCAAGCGUUGUCCGGAAUUAUUGGGCGUAAAGAGCUUGUAGGCGGUUUGUCGCGUCUGCUGUGAAAUUUCGGGGCUCAACCCCGAACUUGCAGUGGGUACGGGCAGACUAGAGUGUGGUAGGGGAGACUGGAAUUCCUGGUGUAGCGGUGAAAUGCGCAGAUAUCAGGAGGAACACCGAUGGCGAAGGCAGGCU